rnacentral:lncRNA from 1 species
GGUUUCGAUUCAAUUAGCCUGAUUUGAUGUCCAGGUUUGAUUUCGAUUCAACUGAACCGGUUUAAUUUGAUGGGGUUGUAGUACCUUUUUUUUUCUUAUCACAAGAGACAGAGCAUGCAUGCGGCAUGCCUCCAUGGCCGUGGCUUUUUUUCCUGCUUUACACACUGCCGCCUCCUUAUCUCCUAGAUCUUCACACCCAUGGUUUUUUUUCCCUAUUUUGUUCUGUGGUCUUUUCAGUCAUGCUGGCUGGGACUGCUACCGAUGCUGCUGCUGGUCAUGAGAAGCUAGCUAUUGGCCUUGUAGUACCGGAGUAAAUGAUUGGCGCUACUAGUUUUUUCCCCUAUCCCCAAAUUUUUCAUCUUGCAGUGGUACCCUUCGCCUUGGGAGCUGAAAGCAUGGGGAGAUGCUGCCGGCCGGCCGGCCAGUACACUGCAACACUGAGAGGUCAUGGACGAGGACGACUCAUGGUGGUGGGUGGGGUCGAUCAAGUUCUUGUUGUUGGGUCGAAAAUGGAGCACGGAGACGAGCCAUAUUUAGCAAGGAAGGUUUAAGUCCAUACCCAAGAUUGGGCAAGGUGGCCUAUCAUGAAAAUGAUGAUGAUGGCCGCAAAGGUCAAUAAGUACUAUGAAAGGAGAAAAGCAUAAUACGAAGGCACGAUGCAAAGGCUAGUACAGACAAGCAAGAUGUGUAGAAUAAGCCGCAGCUGACCAGCGCAUGCAGUCAAGAGGUGGGCGGGCAUGCUUC